rnacentral:rRNA from 1 species
CAGCAGCCGCGGUAACACGUAGGUCCCGAGCGUUGUCCGGAUUUAUUGGGCGUAAAGCGAGCGCAGGCGGUUAGAUAAGUCUGAAGUUAAAGGCUGUGGCUUAACCAUAGUACGCUUUGGAAACUGUUUAACUUGAGUGCAAGAGGGGAGAGUGGAAUUCCAUGUGUAGCGGUGAAAUGCGUAGAUAUAUGGAGGAACACCGGUGGCGAAAGCGGCUCUCUGGCUUGUAACUGACGCUGAGGCUCGAAAGCGUGGGGAGCAAACAGGAUUAGAUACCCCGGUAGUCCCUGUCUCUUAUACC